rnacentral:lncRNA from 1 species
UUUUGCAUGGGCAGUGGAGUCCAAGUGACUCCUGUCUCUUGCUGUUGUUGCAGCUGCUGGGAGGAACAGCUGCCAGGAAUGGAAACAACGUAAAGGAAUAUCCAUGAGGAACAGGAGAAGAGGAAAUAAGGAGAAAUAUGCAUUAAAAUGAAAGAAGAGACACAUGGACUUGGAAUGCAAAAGGAGGGAAAUGAAUCUACACAAGACACAUUCUCCUCAAUUAAUAUGUUAUUGAUCCAAAGCACCAGCUAGAGUGCCAGUACAAGUUGUACUCUGGCGUGUGAGUGUCUUCUGCAAGGCUGGAGUCCUGCCAGGCUCCCCUGAACUUAUCUUCUGCAAACUUUUCCCCUUUGUGGCCUGAGGCUGACGGCUCUGCCCGGCUCCCUGAAGUAGCUGGGUGCUUUUCCAGAAGAGAUCUGACACACUGUGGACUCACCUUUAGCUUUGGCUGAGGGCAGAGAUGCUGCUAUGACUGGCUGAAUAUUUGAGAAGCCAAGCAGGCUGGAACUGCCGUUUUGGUACUUACGUAAGG